rnacentral:lncRNA from 1 species
GUACAGAGGGGCUGGAGAUAACAGCCCUAGAUAAGGUAAAUGUGAAGCCUAACUUCUCUUGUCUAAGAGGCGACAGGGGCUGGUUCAGCCUGUCAGGAAGGGAUUCACCAUGCCCUGGGUGCUGUGCUGAGUGCUUGCUCUCUCUCAUCCUCUCUGCUCUCACAAAGGCCCUCUCUGCAGUAGGCUUUGUGAUCCCAACCUAACAGAUGGAGAAACUCAGGCUCAGGGGUGUGACAUGACUUAUCCACAGUCACACAGGGAAUUACCUGCAAGUAUAAGAGAAAAGCAGACUCAUCGAAUCCCAGAUUCUAUUGUCUUUCUGUUAACAAUACUAAUAGAAACUAAGAUUAAUAGAGCACACACUAUGUGCCAAGCCCUUAUAAUAGCGUUUUAUAGAAGCUCCAUUAUUUUGACUCUUACAACCACCCCAUGAGACAGGUGCUCUUAUUACUGACAUUUUACAGAAGAGGAAACUAAAACACAGAGAUGUUAAGGACAUUAUCCAAUGUCACACAGCUGGGAAAUGGCAGAGGGGGGAUUUGAAAUCCAGCUGGUUAGGCUCCAGAGCCCUUUAUGUCUUUCAGAGUCUAUUGCUCCCGGCUGCAUAAUGCCAGGAGAGCAGGUGCUAUAGGGAGUCAGAGCUGAGAAAGAGCACUGGCCUCAGGCAAAAUUUUCACAGGCUUGUUGAGAGGAUUAUUUGAGCUCAUCCAGCCAUUCAGUAAGUAUGUAUAAAGUGCCUGCUAUGUUUCAGGCAAUAUACUAGGCUUUAGCGAUGUAAUUGAUGAGCAAAAAUAGACACAUUGUUCCCAUUGUGGAGUUUACAGUCUUAAGGGGAAGAGGAGUUUAAACAAAUAAGCAACCCCCCAAAUAAGUCUGCAAGCUGAGAUAAAAGUGAGGAAGGAGAGAGAUGCUGCUCUAACAUGUAAGGAUGGAUCCAGAACCAACUAGGCUUGGGUUGAGUGAGAAGGGGUCAGGAAGACCUCCGCUAAGGAUGAGUGGAAUUAACAUUUUUAAAAGGCUACUCUAGCUACAGUGUGAAAACAGAAUGGAAGGCAGGAGUCAAUGAAGUUGGGUGCCUUUCAGAGGACAUUGCAUUUGUCUGAGGUGGCUUGGAUUGGGGAAGCAGGAGAUGGACAGGACCACAGGAUCCAAAUCAUACUUAGAAUUCCAAACUGAGAAGAUCUGGUGGUGGCUUAAGAGUGGAUGUUGACAGAGAGAGAGAGGCUGGCAACAAUUCCUAGGACUCUAACUUCCCUGGGGACAGGGGCAUUUGUUGAGAUGGGAGCAGUGAAUUAGGCUAAAGGAGGCGUCCCAUCUGCUCCUCCAGGAGUUUCUGGGCAGUUGGUGCAGAAUUUGAAUCUCAAAUGGUCAUUAGUCCUAUUUAAAAUCAAAGCCUAGAGAUAAAGCCAAGUUGAGCCAAGAGAGAAUCAUCUCGGGCAGCUUUCUGAAUGGCCUCCAGACAAAUUCAACUUGGGCCGGAGAGCUUCUGAAGAUGCAGCCUGCUGGGUGAGUGCACACCAGGUUAGUCCAGAGGUGAAAACUCCUGCAGCUGUCCUGGGCUCUCUCCAACAGGCUGCAGGGCCCAGUCAAUACCUCGAUGUGCAGGGGGCAGCCAAUUUCAGGGUCACAGAGCGGGAAUACCUGCCCUCAGAUUCCUUUUUUUUUUUUUUUUUCUUUUCAGGACCACUCCUUUGGCAUAUGGGAGUUCCCAGGCUAGAGGUUGAAUUGAAGCUGCAGCUGCUGACCUAUGCCAUAGCCACAGCAAUGCCAGAACCUACACCGAAGCUUGCAGCAAUGCUGGAUCCUUAACCCACUGAGCGGGGCCAGGGAUCAAACCCAUAUCCUCAUGGAUACUCGUCAGGUUCUUAACCCUCUGAGCCACAACAGGAACUCCCUGCCCUCAGACUCUUAAGAGAAGAUCACAAAAGUUUCAGCUCUUCUUGCAUGCAUCCCCAGUCCUGAGGUGGCCCGGGCAGCCAGCCAGAAGUAAGAGUUCUCAACUGGGAGAAAUUUUGCACCCAGGGAGCAUUCGACAAUGUCUGGAGAUGAUUUGGGUUGUCACAAUUAGGGGAAGAGAGUCACUAGCAUCUAGUGGAUAAAAGUCGAGGACACUCUCAAACAUCUUCCAAUACACAAUACCCCUUCCCCUCCCAACAAAGAUUUGUCCAGCCCCAAAUGUCAGCUGUGCCAAGUGUGAGAAACCCUGGCUUAAACCCAAGGCUUUGAAGUCAAAGAGGCCUAGCGGUCUGGGUUUGAAUCCAACAUUGGCUGGUUGAUCUUGGGCAACCUAUCUGACCUUGGAGCUUCAAGACCUUCAUCUAUCAAAUGAGGGACAACAGUAACACACACCUUAGAAAGAUGAUGUGAAGAUUAAAUAAUUGGCUAUAAGGAGUCUGGAGCACAUGUUAUGCUCAUGUGACUUCCACAUAAGCAGGGGGUGGGUUGGACUCAGUAUGCCGGAGAAGGGAAAACAGGGGGACAAAAACAAGGACUCAAGUCAGAGCACCAGGUUGAGCCUGGAUCUCCUGCCUGUAGUGAGACCCUGGGAAACUGUCCCAGUCCUUGAGCCCCAGUUUCCUCAUCUGAGAAACAGAGAUGCUCAACAUGGGGUGGUUAUGAGGGCUAAAGGAGCGAAUGGUUGUAAAUGUCUUAGCACAGAGUCUGGUACACAGUGAGCUUUGGAUAAAUGUGAACCAAACUUUAUAGAAGACAAAAAGAAUUAGUGCUACCUCAUUUCCUAGUAACAGACAACCUGACAACCACAUUGAAACUUUGUAACUCAAAGUUUCCAAGGAAGUUCCCAUUUCAAAUACUCUGCCCAUGGUCCCUUCACUUAUCAGAUCAUACACACCAAUUUUCAUUUCCGAAAACACGGUCUCUGGAUUAUAAUAAUAGCACUGUUUAUGCAGUCCUCUUGUGAUAAGCACUGUGCUAAGCACUGCUCAGGCAAGCCCCUCCUCUCCAGGAAUUUCCAGAUCAUCCAGCUCAAAGGUAGAACGCUGCAGACUUGAAAUCUAAGGAUCAGAGUGCGCGAAAGUAAUUUGCAGCUGGAGGCAGAGCCGAGUCUGGAUCCCAUCAGUACUUGAGAAUCCCAGCUGAGACCACUUCCACACGCAUGAUAAGGGUUCUUCUCACUCCCACAGUCCUGGGUUACAUGUGCUUCACUGGUGUUGUGAAGGUUAAAUGAAAUAAUCCACAUUACUGUCUUACCAGGGUGCCUGGCAUAUAGCAGGAACUAAAUGUUAGUUAUUAUUAUUUAUGGUACUGGCACUUUUAAAGGGCAUGUAAAAUAAAUAUCUUUGAAUCGCGUAAAAGUACAUUUCCAAAAGCUUACAUCAAGCCCCAUAAAGCUAGAAAUGAAACAGUAUCUUUAAAAUGUAAUCCUGGCAUGAUUUAGUCAUCUGGUUCCACUUACUAAUAUCAGGGAGUCCUCAUCUUUUGUUUAAUGUAUGUGUGUGUGCCAGUUUCUUACCUUCCAUGGGUUACCGAUGCUCCAGAUUCUAUGCAGGGUCUCAAAGGAUCUCCCACUCUAGGGCUAGGAAUAUAAGAAGAGCCCAAGGCAUUAAGCAGGAGUUGCUGGAACCAUAUGGACCAAACAAUCAUGGGGUGUUCCCUCAAACCUUAUCCAUUAUGCCAUUCAAGUGAGUUCUAAACUCAGAUCAAUAAGCCAGAGUGGCAAAAGAACAUCGUAGUUAUAGUCUUGAAUCUCAUAGACUAGGGUAUGAACUCAAGUCCUACCAAGGUUACCAUGAGCUGUGUAACCUUAGGUGGUCAUCUCAUCUGUUUGAGCUUCAGUUUCCUUGGCCAUAAAAUAGCAAUGAUAAUAGUAUUAAACUCAGUAUAUGUUAAAUAUUAGUAUUAUUAAAAGAAGUCAACAGUAGCAAGUUAUUGGGGUGAAUAAAUGAAAGAGAAGCAAGAUUGGGGUUUGACAAGGAAGUUUCAUCAGUUACCUUACUUGUCCCAAGUCCCAGCUCUGCCAUUUGAUUGCAUGACCUGGGCAGAUCCCUCACCUCUCUGAGCCAGUUUCGCCAUCCAUAAAGGGGGCCCCAAAUACCCCAGGUAAGAUUACCAGUGGGCAAGCACUUUCUUAGUGACAAAGCAAAAAAAGACAUGUUUGUUGUGGCUAUGAUCCCUUUUCAGAAAGAAUUUUCAUCAUCUCAGAAACAUUUAUUGAGGAGUUCCUGUUGUGGCUCAGCGGUAAGGAACCAGACUAGUAUCCAUGAGGAUGUUGGUUGGAUCCCUCGCCCUGCUCAGUGGUUAAGGAUCCAGCAUUGCUGUGAGCUCUGGUGUAGGUCACAGAUGCGGCUCAGAUCCAGCAUUGCUGUGGCUGUGGCAUAGGNNNNNNNNNNNNNNNNNNNNNNNNNNNNNNNNNNNNNNNNNNNNNNNNNNNNNNNNNNNNNNNNNNNNNNNNNNNAAAAAAAAAAAAAAAAAAAAAAAAAAAAUUAUUGCACCUUAAUCAUAAUUUUAAAACUUUGUGAUGCCCUAUGAUAUUUCCUGUUUUAUUCCAUUCUACUUUUUUUGCUUAUAAUCUUCUAUAUAUUUUAAAGAAAUAAAAAAGUCCAUAGAAACCAAGCUAGUCAUUUGCCCAGCCCACCAGGUAUUUCUGGAUCUCUGCCUUUGGGGGACAGGGUAGGAUCGCCCCGCCCCCUUAUGGUUAAGUAGAGGCAUGUGACUAGUUCUGGCCAAUGAGCUGUGAGCAGAAACCACAGGGGCCACUCCUGGCGAGAACAUUUAAUUGCCGCCAGUGCCAUACGCUCUGGAGUCCGGCUUCCCCUCUGGCAAGGUGACUGACAGUGAUGGAGAUGGCAGCUGCUCCAUGAGCCCGAGUUCCAGUGUGAGUAUGAUGAGCAGAACCUUCCGCACAUCUGCUUUGGCUGCACUGGCUGGAGAGUAAAUGAAAAAUUAACAUGUGUUGUGUCAAGCCGAGACCACGGGGCUUUCAAAAAUUUUUAAACUGAAAAAAUGUUUAAGGUUAAAUUAACUUUAAUAAUACAUUUUAUUUAAUCCAAUAUAUCCCCAAAGCCACUUCAAUUAUUAUUUUAAAAAUCAGUAAUAAGCUAUGUUCUUUUUUUACAUACCAGUGAAAAACGAUCUUCACGAUCCAGUGUGUAUUUUACAUUUAUAGCAAAUCUCAAUUCAGACAAGCUACAUUUCA